CAGCCCCAGCCGACGCGCGGGGCUCUUCGGAAGGCCGGGAGGUGCCUGUGACAAUGCGAGUCUGUGCCCCACGCUCCCGCACCGAGGAGCCGAGGAUGCCGAGGCCGAAUGGCUAGAGUGGGCCCAGGCAUCAGCAUUUCUGUUUGGCACCCGGGCAGUUGUGCUGCACGUUUUGAAGAACUACUAAAGCCUGCCUGUGAUGAAAAAGGCAAAAGCUGACUUCACCAAAAUUAUUCCCAGGGAGGCUUCUGCAUUUGGCUGGAAGGACUAUUUGAGUAAACCGCUGAGGCUGGGGGUUGAAACAUAAUCCUCCUCUAAGGGAGAUCGGUUCCGAUACCCCGAGUUAGGGACGCUUGCCUGGGCAGAGCUAAGGGAAGAAUGAUCAAAAGCCAAGCUCUGUCCCGGUCAGCACGUCACCCUCCCUCACUGUAAUCCUUGACUGUUUCUCUAAAUGAAGAAUUAUUUAGAGAAUAUAAAUUAGAAGGGCCGCCACGUCAGAAUUGCCUGAGUGGGAGCAGUCUUUCCAGCCUCGAAAAAUGUUUAAACAAUAUGCAGAUGACCUAGGACAAAUAAAGAAUGCUAGCAACCGCUGUUAUGUGAACUCAACUGUUAGGCAGAAGGGAGGAAUGUACUGUUGAUAUGGACAGACUCCAAGAAGGGGAGGGACUGCUGGGACUACUAGAACGAGAAUGCCUCUCUGCCCCCAUGCCUCAGCUCUACCACUCUGUCUGCACAUUGGCUUCAUGCUGUUGAACCAGCUUCCUCCAUAUGGAAACAAGGCCACUGACAGCUCCCAACAUUUCAUCUUCUGCCUCAUCAUCAGACAGGCGAGGUACACAGAAGAAAGGCCAUGUGAGGACACAGCAAGAAGCAGAUAUCUGCAAGUCAAGAAGAAAGGCCUCAACAGACACCAACCCUGCCAGCACCUUGAUCUUGGACUUCUGGCCUCCAAAACUGUGAAAGAAUAAAAUUCUGUUGUUUAAGCCACGCAGUUUGUGGUACUUUGUAUGGUAGCCCUAGCAGACUAACAUAGAUAGAGAUUUAUUUUAAGGAACUGGCUUAUGCAACUGUAGAACUUGGCAAGUCUGAAAUCUGUAGGGCAGGUUGGCAGGCUGAAAACUCAGGCAGGAUUUCUAUAUUACAGUCUUGAAGCAGAAUUCCUUAUUCUCUGUGAAGCCUCAGGCUUCGCUCUUAAGGCCAACUGAUUGGAUGAGGGUCACCUACGUUAGCAAGGGUAAAAAUCUCCUUUGCUUAAAGUCAACUGAUUUAAAUGUUAAUCACAUCUACAAAUUACCUUCACAGCAACAACCAGACUCGUGUUUGACCAAACUACUGGACACCAUAGCCUAACCAAAGUGAUACAUAAUAUUAACCAUCACACUGUCCAUCAAAUUUUAGGAAAGCUCUCAUUUGGAACAGAGAUAAGAGAUAUCUUCCUCCACAUUGCUGCCCUUUGUCAUCUUGCUUUGUAGACAGAAAAAUUAAUUGAUGACUAAGGGGAUUGUUUUUCUAGUCAGCCCACCAAGACUGCUGUUUGAACAAGCAUUGGAUCCAGAAUCCAUUUCUUUGAACCCAGCCACCUUGCUGCAGGGAUUGAGAAAUCCUGCCUCUAUAUUCAACUCAGUAAGACUGAUCUCUUUGCACAACGAGCUUGCAAUGUCAUGGUAACAGUUUAGGAACACUGAAGUUCACAAACAUGAUAGUAUCUUAUUUAUUGACUGGAUGUUUACCAAGUACCAGGCAUUGUUCUAAGCACUUAACAUACAAUUUAACCUGUUAAUCAUAUAGUUUAAUCCUUAAAAUAGCUUGUGUGCAGUAGACACAA